UGAAGGGAGACUCUGUUCAGCUGUCAGAACUACAGACAGCAGGAUUGAUUAUGGCCUCCAUCAUAGCUUUGUCCUCUCUCCUCCUCACCCUGCUGGCUCACUGUACAGGGUCUUGGGCCCAGUCUAUGCUGACUCAGCCACCCUCUGUGUCUGGGGCCUUGGGACAGAGGGUCACCAUCUCCUGCACUGGAAGCAGCUCCAACAUUGGGAGUGGUAAUUAUGUGAACUGGUACCAACAACUUCCAGGAAUAUCCCCCAAACUCAUCAUCUAUGAUAGUAGCAACCGACCCUCUGGUGUCCCAGAUCGAUUCUCUGGCUCUAGGUCUGGCAGCUCAGGCACCCUGACCAUCACUGGCCUCCACACUGAGGAUGAGGCUGAUUAUUACUGCUCAGCGUGGGACAACAGUCUGAAUGCUCACACAGUGCUCCAGUCCUGUUGGGACAUGGACUGUGGACUUUGGCUGGCCUUUGGGGAGGAGGACGUAGGCCAGGUUGUUCCCAUCUCAUAA